rnacentral:lncRNA from 1 species
GCCUUCCACCAUUAUUGUGAGACUUUCCCAGCCACGUGGAACUGCAUUUAUGAAGUAGGGACCUGGAAUUGAAUAGACUCCUAAAGGAGAGACAGAAGUUUGAAAGAGCAAGAUGAGUGGAUGUGAAUCCAGACAUAAAAAGAGAACAGCAAAUAUUUGAAAGAGUUUAAGACAUACUCCUCAAGGUACCACAGAUAGAAGCCUCGAGAAGCUUACUUUGGUGAGAAAUUUUGCCUUUCUCUGCAGGCUUCUACCAGUUCGAUUCCAUCUGUGGGUCUUAGUUUUCAGUUACCUGCAGUCAAAUGUGGUCCAAUAUACAGACUGGAAUAAGAGACACUGGAGACUCCAAAAGGUGGGCAGAAUAUUUUCUGGUAGACUGAUACAUUUCUCCUAAAAAAUUUGGAAAAAUUUUGUGAUGAAGAAGCUACCUGGGCCUGAAGAUAUCUUUUCUGAAGAUGGCCAUCUACAAAGUACACAGAGGAUACCCACCUGUCACCAGAUCUGCCAGCACCUUCAUUGUGGACUUUCUUGUCUCUGGAAUCGUGAGACUUGUUUCUGAUCUGAGUGGGAAAGAAUUCAGUAUUUCUCCAUUUAAUAUGAUAUUAGCUAUAGAUUUUUUAUAGAUGCCUUGCAUUAAAGUGAAGAAGCUUCAUUUUCUUCCUAAUAUUCUGAUUUUUUAAUCAUAGAUAUGUCUUAUCUAACUUAUUGAAAAAAUAAUUUCAAAAAUGUGUGGCCGGGCGUGGUGGCUCACAUCUGUAAUCCCAGCACUUU